AUUGAACGCUGGCGGCAUGCUUUACACAUGCAAGUCGAACGGCAGCGCGGGCUUCGGCCUGGCGGCGAGUGGCGAACGGGUGAGUAAUGCAUCGGAACGUGCCCAGUAGUGGGGGAUAGCCCGGCGAAAGCCGGAUUAAUACCGCAUACGACCUGAGGGUGAAAGCGGGGGACCGAAAGGCCUCGCGCUAUUGGAGCGGCCGAUGUCGGAUUGGCUAGUUGGUGGGGUAAAGGCUUACCAAGGCGACGAUCCGUAGCUGGUCUGAGAGGACGACCAGCCACACUGGGACUGAGACACGGCCCAGACUCCUACGGGAGGCAGCAGUGGGGAAUGUUGGACAAUGGGGGCAACCCUGAUCCAGCCAUGCCGCGUGCGGGAAGAAGGCCUUCGGGUUGUAAAACGCUUUUGUUCGGGAAGAAAUCCUCUGGGCUAAUACCCCGGGGGGAUGACGGUACCGGAAGAAUAAGCACCGGCUAACUACGUG
rnacentral:rRNA from 1 species